rnacentral:rRNA from 1 species
GACGAACGCUGGCGGCGUGCUUAACACAUGCAAGUCGAACGGAAAGGCCCUGCUUUUGUGGGGUGCUCGAGUGGCGAACGGGUGAGUAACACGUGAGUAACCUGCCCUUGACUUUGGGAUAACUUCAGGAAACUGGGGCUAAUACCGGAUAGGAGCUCCUGCUGCAUGGUGGGGGUUGGAAAGUUUCGGCGGUUGGGGAUGGACUCGCGGCUUAUCAGCUUGUUGGUGGGGUAGUGGCUUACCAAGGCUUUGACGGGUAGCCGGCCUGAGAGGGCGACCGGCCACAUUGGGACUGAGGUACGGCCCAGACUCCUACGGGAGGCAGCAGUGGGGAAUAUUGCACAAUGGGCGGAAGCCUGAUGCAGCAACGCCGCGUGCGGGAUGACGGCCUUCGGGUUGUAAACCGCUUUCGCCUGUGACGAAGCGUGAGUGACGGUAAUGGGUAAAGAAGCACCGGCUAACUACGUG